rnacentral:rRNA from 1 species
AACGAACGCUGGCGGCAUGCCUAACACAUGCAAGUCGAACGAGACCUUCGGGUCUAGUGGCGCACGGGUUCGUCACGCGUCGGAACCUGCCCUUAUGUUCGGACUAACUUCCCGAAAGGGGUGCUAAUACCGGAUAAUGUCUUCGGACCAAAGAUUUAUCGCCUUUGGAUGUGCCCGCGUUGGAUUAGCUAGUUGGUAGGGUAAAAGCCUACCAAGGUGACGAUCCAUAGCUGGUCUGAGAGGAUGAUCAGCCACACUGGGACUGAGACACGGCCCAGACUCCUACGGGAGGCAGCAGUGGGGAAUAUUGGACAAUGGGCGAAAGCCUGAUCCAGCAAUGCCGCGUGAGUGAUGAAGGCGUUAGGGUUGUAAAGCUCUUUUACCCGGGAUGAUAAUGACAGUACCGGGAGAAUAAGCUCCGGCUAACUCCGUG